AGAAUCAACGCUGGCGGCGUGCCUAACACAUGCAAGUCGCACGAGAAAGGGACUUCGGUCCUGAGUAAAGUGGCGCACGGGUGAGUAACACGUGAAUAAUCUACCUCCGAGUGGGGAAUAACUGAGAGAAAUCUUAGCUAAUACCGCAUAAUACCCACGGGUCAAAGCAGCAAUGCGCUUGGAGAGGAGUUCGCGGCCGAUUAGCUAGUUGGCGGGGUAAUGGCCACCAAGGCGAUGAUCGGUA
rnacentral:rRNA from 1 species